rnacentral:rRNA from 1 species
CCUACGGGUGGCUGCAGUGAGGAAUAUUGGUCAAUGGACGAGAGUCUGAACCAGCCAAGUAGCGUGAAGGAUGACUGCCCUAUGGGUUGUAAACUUCUUUUAUAUGGGAAUAAAACAGGGUAUGCAUACCCUCUUGUAUGUACCAUAUGAAUAAGGAUCGGCUAACUCCGUGCCAGCAGCCGCGGUAAUACGGAGGAUCCGAGCGUUAUCCGGAUUUAUUGGGGUUAAUGGGAGCGGUGGGGGGAUGGUAAGUCAGUUGUGAAAGGUUGCGGCUCAACCGUAAAAUUGCAGUUGAAACUGGCAGUCUUGAGUGCAGUAGAGGUGGGCGGAAUUCGUGGUGUAGCGGUGAAAUGCUUAGAUAUCACGAAGAACUCCGAUUGCGAAGGCAGCUCACUGGACUGCAACUGACACUGAUGCACGAAAGUGUGGGUAUCAAACAGGAUUAGAUACCCUUGUAGUC